rnacentral:rRNA from 1 species
UACGAAGGGGGCUAGCGUUGCUCGGAAUUACUGGGCGUAAAGGGAGCGUAGGCGGAUAGUUCAGUCAGAGGUGAAAGCCCAGGGCUCAACCUUGGAACUGCCUUUGAUACUGGCUAUCUUGAGUUCGGGAGAGGUGAGUGGAAUGCCGAGUGUAGAGGUGAAAUUCGUAGAUAUUCGGCGGAACACCAGUGGCGAAGGCGACUCACUGGCCCGAUACUGACGCUGAGGCGCGAAAGCGUGGGGAGCAAACAGG